rnacentral:rRNA from 1 species
CCUACGGGAGGCUGCAGUCGAGAAUCAUUCACAAUGGGGGAAACUCUGAUGGUGCGACGCCGCGUGGGGGAAUGAAGGUCUUCGGUAUGUAAAGCUCUAUCAGCAGGGAAGAAAAUGACAGUACCUGACCAAGAAGCCCCGGCUAACUACGUGCCAGCAGCCGCGGUAAUACGUAGGGGGCAAGCGUUAUCCGGAUUUACUGGGUGUAAAGGGAGCGUAGACGGUUAUGUAAGUCUGGAGUGAAAGCCCGGGGCCCAACCCCGGGACUGCUUUGGAAACUGUGUAACUGGAGUACAGGAGGGGCAGGCGGAAUUGCUGGUGUAGCGGUGAAAUGCGUAGAUAUCAGGAGGAACACCGGCGGCGAAGGCGGCCUGCUGGACUGAAACUGACGUUGAGGCUCGAAAGCGUGGGGAGCAAACAGGAUUAGAUACCCUGGUAGUC